rnacentral:rRNA from 1 species
CCUAGGGGGGGCAGCAGUGAGGAAUAUUGGUCAAUGGGCGGGAGCCUGAACCAGCCAAGUCGCGUGAGGGAAGACGGUCCUACGGAUUGUAAACCUCUUUUGCCGGGGAGCAACGGGGUCCUUGCGAGGGCCCAAUGAGAGUACCCGGAGAAAAAGCAUCGGCUAACUCCGUGCCAGCAGCCGCGGUAAUACGGAGGAUGCGAGCGUUAUCCGGAUUUAUGGGGUUUAAGGGGUGCGUAGGCGGGCUGUUAAGUCAGCGGUCACAUGUCGGGGCUCAACCCCGGCCUGCCGUUGAAACUGCAUCCCUUGAGUGCGCGAGAAGUAUGCGGAAUGCGUGGUGUAGCGGUGAAAUGCAUAGAUAUCACGCAGAACUCCGAUUGCGAAGGCAGCAUACCGGCGCGCAACUGACGCUCAUGCACGAAAGCGUGGGUAUCGAACAGGAUUAGAUACCCGUGUAGUC